GCACCGUUCAGUCGAACAUAUCCGUUUAGCGCGAACGCUCGGGAGUAUACCGUGUGCGCCAAAAAAGCACACCUCCCACCAGUAGUGGUUAGUCGUAGUUUGCAGGAACACAAAUUUAUUUAAUAAAUUCACACCGAAUCGCAAUCAUAACAAUAACGGUCAUAUUAUUGUCGUACGCCGCCGCUGUGUCGUCGAAUUUCCAACGUUGUUUACAUCCGAAAAUCAACUAGCCGGUGUCGCGUUUUUACGCCGCGUCUCAACGUCAACGCAGCUACCGCCGCCGCCGUCGUAGACGCCGAAGCCGCUGCCCGGGUUGACUGCCUAUACACCGCACGCACAGCCGCCGACGCCGGAUCCACGUGAAAUUUCUGCAUUCUUAAUAUCAUUAUUGUAUUAUACUAAUUGUUGUGUUUAUUGUAAUUAUUACGAUAUCUAUAUAUCUAUAU